rnacentral:misc_RNA from 1 species
GCCCGCGGCACGCGAACAUCUGCCGAGCGCAGCCUCGUUCUGGGGCUGGUGACGUCACACAAAGGGCGGCGUAUUCAAGCGAGAGAACAGCCGCAACCUGUGUGUGUAGUGAGUAGCAGCACUGCUGUUUCGUGUGAAACAUUUCCUCCCAUCACGACACUGGAGUACAUGUACUUUGCAACCAUGGGUCAGUGUGUGACCUGGACAAGAAAACCUUCUGCUUGACUUCAAAGGAUUUAAAAAAAAAAAAAUAUUACAAGAGUGAGGAUUCGCUUUUGUUUGUCUGACGGUGAGGCUUAAAAGAAAAACAAAUGGAGCUCUGCUUGAAACGCCGCGAGUUGCUGAAUCAAACGAGUGACGAGAAUGAUGUCAACAGUGGAAACACGUGCGGCGAUGGCCUCGUCAGCCCUUACAAGCGCCUGAAGGUGUCGGAGGUCACCGGGAGCGAGGUCACGUGUCAGGGGCUGAACUCUGACCCUCCACAGCCAGCUGGUCAGUUCCGGCUACAGCAGCAGACUGACCAACACUUCGGAUGGUCACUGCAACAGCAGCUGCGGCAGCGGCGGAAACCCCGUGUCCCAGGGGGAGCCUGCGGCCAUCGCUGGAGACUUGGGACGAACCGCACAGUUCGGACCUCUUGGUGAUUUUACCGCCGAGGACGACAAGGCAGGCGUGACGAUGACUGGACCAGGAACAUCAGCAGGAGUGGAUUCGAACCAUCUCGUCCCGCUGCGCAGCGCCCUCGCGUCCGGCCAUCCUUGCUCCCUCGGCAAAGGGGAGGUGACUGUCGCGGAGAGCGUCAGCAGCAAGGCCAACAAGAGCGUCAAGUUCCGGGACUGCGGGGCGACGGACAGCUCCGGGGAGGGACUGCAGACCCGGGGUGGGGCUGGCUGCAGAGGUGGGGGAGCCAGGAACCCGAGCAAGCGCAAAGUGCUGGAGACAGAAGGUCAGCUCAAGUUGUCUGCUUACCUCAACUCUGGUCUUCUGACAAUACACAUAAUACAAGGACGACAGUUCAAGUCAGGGUGGAAGCCACUCUGCGACUCCUACGUGAAGGUAUCCAUUGUCCCCGAGGAUCUCGACAGAAAGAUGAGAUUCAAGACCAGGAUCAUCAGUGACUCCAACAGUCCUUUGUUCGACGAAAAGUUUUCAUUGGAGUUGAACCACAACGACGAGAACAAAAGGCUGCUGGUGUCUGUGUGGCAUAAAGACCAAACCUCAGGGCUGAGUGAGUUCCUUGGGUGCACGUCGUAUGGAGUCAGGAACAUCAUGCGUAACACAAAGGAGGUGAACGGAUGGUACUACCUGCUGACGGAAGAAGUAGGGAGGAAAAAACACCUUAUCGCCUCCAUGCGACCCCAACCGUCUCUCAAGAUGCGAGGCCACAACAUACCUGCCAUCAACAAAGAUGUUGUUGGGCUGCAGUCUGUCAUGAUACAAAUGGCGAGAGGCAAGCAUGGGUUUGGCUUUUCUGUUGUGGAGGAGUUUCCAGUCCGUGUUGGCAGAGUAGACUUGGCCUCACCAGCCGAGAAGGCAGGCCUAAAAGUUGGAGACUUCAUUGUAAAGGUCAACAAUCAGAAUGUGUCCAGGUCAACUGUUGCCAGUGUCGCAAAACUUGUCAAGAAGAGUGGGGCUAGCCUACUGCUUCAGCUCCAGCGACCUCGACAAGUUCAGACUGACGCCUUAGAGCAGACUCCAUGGAAAAAAACGGACUCUAUCUAUGAGAGCAUUACAGAGGAAGCUGUUGGCCAACAAGACCCUCAUGUCUGUCCUGAAGGCAUCUGUGAUUACUGUGAGGAGGAGGAGGAGCUGUCUGCAGAUUAUGACAUGACUGCACCCUAUGCUCCUUUCCCUGUCGGGCAAAUUCCAACAAGCACCCCUUUGCCAAAUUUGAUGAAGAUGGACUGUAAAACAGCUGAUGAGCAGAAGAAACAUGAGGCUAUCCAUCGUCUCCUUAGCUUAGAGCUGGAUUUUAUCGACUUCAUGCAUGCUGGUAUCCAGCGGUAUUCCCGACCCCUCCGACAUUGUGUCCUUUCAGGAACACAGCACUCUGCAGUCUUUCAAAAUGUUGAAAAACUUGUGACGAUCUCGGAGUACCAUGUCAAGCAGAUGCAGGAAAACUCUCCAUCUGUGUGGUCGUUGUCUGACGAUGAUUCUCAGUCAAGUGGAAGUAGCCAUUUUGUAACAUCAAUUGCUCUGAUAUAUCAAUCUAAAGUGCAGAUGCUUUGUCAAGCACAUGAAACGUAUGCUUUGGGUUUACGUGAAGCCAAUAGAGUCCUGUCAGAAUUACAGCACAACCAUGACUUUGUGCGAUUUGUGAAGGAGCCAGCACUGGAGCCUGGGCAACCUAGCAUCAGUGCAUUUAUCUUUAGGCCUUUACAGCACAUCAGGGAGCUGUUUGUGGUCCUGCAGGACAUCUUCCUUCACACCCCGCCACAGAGUCCUGAUCACGCUACUCUGAAGCAGGUGAUUCAAGUUAUGAACAACUGUGUCACCAACAUCGCCAGCAUGAGCAAUGCUAGGGUCCAGAGCCUGACAUCACUGUCUUCCCACACCAAGAGUUCCAGCAGCAGUGGAUGUUCUGGAAGAGGCGGCUUGGCAUCAUCUUCUUCUGACAGCUCAUCUAAAGGCAGCAUUAAUUGUGGCAGCAGACACAGUCAAGAAAAUCUGCCAUUGGUGCCAUCAUCAUCACUGCAGACAUUACGAUCCUUUGAUCGUGAAGUGAAAGAACUUGAAGAUAGACUUGUAUUUCCUCAAAAGUGUCUAGUGUUUCAGCUAAGCCAAGAAGAUCGACAUAUCAUCUUCCAGGGAGAUGUUUUUCACUGGAGCAGUGGCCAGUGGGCUAAGGUGAUGAUGGUGCUGUUUUCAGACAUUCUUAUGUUGCUGAAGCCAGAAAAGGGCGGACAGCUGCAUGUUGUAUCUGAACCCAUUCUGCUGCGAAACAUAUGUAGCAUAGAAACAAGCAGAAAACAUUCUACAGAGAUUCUGUUGCAACAUUACACAAGUCCAAGCAACACCAUUCCAGCUUCACAGAAAAUAAUCUUUCGAGCUGCAACACUCGAAGAUAAGGCAGCAUGGAAAAGUCUUCUGGAACAGAAAGUAUUGAGAGCAAGAGGGGGUCACAUCGAGAACGUGGGAACCAGCGAGACAUUCAGAUCUGGCAUCAUCUGACCAUCAUCCUCUUGACCUCAUGGUGUAUUUUAUUCUCCCAAGCUGCCAAAAAUGGUUUGUGCAUGUGGAUUCUGCGAUGUGUGCCAGAGGUGACAGGAAGUGAAAUGUAUUUGAACAUGACUGGUGAAGUCACUACUGAAUUGCUUUCAAGGAUAGGUCCUGGGUGCACAUCCUGACACGACAACAAUGUUCAUUUUGGAUUCUCUGCCUGUGACAGAAUUCACCUGCUGUGAAUCAUAUUGGAAGAAUUAGCACUGAGGCUACUUCAUUUCAAGAGCUUCUUGGCAAAAACUUCUGAGGGCUGUGUGUAAUUUAUUUCAUGUUAAUUUCGACAUUAUUUAUGAGGCAUGGAUGUUGAGAUGGACAACUAGCAUGACUAGUCAAAGACCUCGUAAGACUUUUAAUGUCUAUUCCAGCUUCUGCAAAUACGUAAGAACCUUCUGAUUGGAAAGGAAAAGAGAAGUGUUACAGAACUGCAUCGUGGCUGCUGUUAAGAAUUGACAUCUGCAAAGAAAAGUUUACUGCAACGAGUUAAAACUCUCAUUUAAAAAUUUCAAACAUCCUUAACAACAGAACACGACAAAGACCAGUUCCACUGUGAUUGACAGACUGACUUUAAUUCCACAGCUGUGGUGCAUGGAAUGCAACAUAGCAUCUUGUGUACAUCCACUGUGCAAGCUUCUGGAUACCACUAGGUGGUUUGACACCACUUCAGGAAUCUUAGAGGUGCUAGAAAAGUGAGAUCUAGCACGUGUUGCAACAUAAAGAUAGUGUACUUCUGAUAUAAGGUGCAAAUUAUCACAAAGUAUCUUUCUGCAGAUUGUGGAUCACCUGCUAGGUGAUUAGACUAAAAGGUGCCAAGUCACAAGGAAUGAUAUGUUUUAAUGAAAUUUCAUUUUUCCUGGUACCUUGGAAAAAAUCCCGUUCUUAUAAUCUUUACAUGCACCUGUGUGAUCUGCAGUGAGGCAACACACAGUUGGAUGCUGCUGUAGCAUAUGUUCAGUCAUGUGCUUCAUUCAAAAAGAGCAGUUCCAGUAGAACGUUUCACUACCUGGACAUGCUUUUGGAUAUUCAUCCACCUCAGAUGAUGUUACAUGAAGUUUUUUGUAUUUUCCAGAUCAUUACAAUUUGAGAUAAACUGUUUCAAAAGGAAAAGUUUUGAUUUAGGAGCAGUGUUUAUGAUAAUUUUUAUGCUUAACAAAAUUUCUUUUAAAGAAUCCUUGAAAUGUUAAGUAGAGAUAUGGCGUGUUUUAAAAUUCUAGUCAAAGCAGCAUUGACAUCCUGGUGGGGAGAAGUUAGCAUCUGCACCAUCAGGAAAUAUUGACAACUGGAAAGUAUUUUUUUUAAAUGGUAUGAUUUACUGUCUUUCCACAAGUCAUAUUUUUAUUCAGUAUUCUGGCUUUUUACUUAUUUUUUUCUGAAUUGCACAAUUUGCAAACUUUAAAAAAAUAAAGUCUGCAGCUUAAAAUCUUUUCUCCUUUCACAAUCUUCUUCUUUUCCAAUUCUUGUCCUUUUCAGUUUCUAUCAGAGAUUUAUGGUUUUAUUUCUGCUGCUCAUUUAUAUUGCUGUCCUUAACAUAAGCAAUAAUUGGAUUUCUUGAUGUAUGUGCUAUGUUUAUACUAAUCCCACUCCUUGCCAGCCUGUAGUGGCAGGCACCUUAUGUCUCACCAUUUUAUUUUUAGUUGAAUAUAUAAUGAAUUCCUUACAUCCUCUGCAUCGUACAAUAUUUUUCACCAGUCUCUUGAAUGAUAGAGUGUAACUACACCUUGGCAUGCAGACUCGCACACAUACAAACUGAGGUUAAAUCAGCGUGCAAACAAUUUUUCAUUCAUGCAUAUGUAUUUCACUACCUUGAAGUACAUGAAUAUAGUGUGCAUUUCCUAUACACCAGAACUUUUGUAUGCAGGAAACCCCAACUGGACUAUUAUCACGAUAGCAGAUAAAAAUUAGGAUACAUGGACUCCCAAAAGCCAGCUAUUGUACGACAUGGUUCUUCAAAAAGGGGCCCCUGCAUCAAAAUUUACAUGCACUAUCGUGUGACGAUAGUCCAAUUGGGGCUUCUGCAUAUGAGGACUGAUGAAUAACAAAGUUGCCCUGUCUGCAACAGACUAUGACAAAAAUGACUGUUAAGAGCUAAGUAGAAUUUUGUUUUUAUGAAAAGAUUGCAAUAAUUAUACUACCUCACUGAUGCCUAUGAUACAAGGAUUGGCAUACAUACUUGAUCUUAAUUUUUAUUUUUAUACUCCACUAUUUUUAAUUGUGAUGAAGUGAAGACAAGUUGUUACAAAUUACAUGUAAAGACUUUCAUGCUGAAAUGUAAUGGAUUUCGGCAGAAUCUGAUGUCGUUUAUCCACUUUGUUCACACCAAGAUACUGUAGAUCAACAUUGUCAGCAGUCCUCAACAUGCAUCAGUUGUCCCAUAUCAUUUUUAGUCUUAGUCAUCAGCCAUCAAACAACUUUUCUCGAUUAAUUAUGCUUCUCUCCUUUCCUUCAUACUGUUGUUAAUUUUAUGGUCUUCCUCUCUUAAUUAUCCAAGAGCACAAUUCUUUAAGUUUAUUUUUUACAAUCUUCGUUACCUGAAGUAUUUAAUUUUUCUUAUUUCUUCACUGUAGUCUGGUCACCAGUUUGCAGAGCACAAUAUGAUAAAAAUUAAUUUUUUGUUGAAGAUUGAACCAGCAAAUAAAAAAGAAAACACCAAGUA